UUCCAUAAGAAGCCAGCGGCCAUCUCUGCUGGACCACAGGAGCAGCUAUCACACUUGAAGAGUAGCUUAGAGGUACCAUCACUCACCCAUAGUGAUCGAUGUUGCAUAUUCAAACUACACAAGCAAGUAUGUGGUGAAAAGUGACUCCCUCUUCAUCUACCCUGAAUACUCAUGCACCACUUCUUAAAAGUAACCACAGGACAAGACUAACUGCCUCCAAAAAUCUUAAGGAGCACACGAGGUAAUACUGAAGCGGACCUAGCCUGUCACCAACUUACAG